rnacentral:rRNA from 1 species
UACGUAGGGGGCAAGCGUUGUUCGGAAUUACUGGGCGUAAAGGGCGCGUAGGCGGCACAGCAAGUCGGGAGUGAAAGCCCGGGGCUCAACCCCGGAAUGGCUUUCGAAACUGCUAAGCUAGAGUAUAGUAGGGGUAAAGGGAAUUUCCAGUGGAGCGGUGAAAUGCGUAGAGAUUGGAAAGAACACCGAUGGCGAAGGCACUUUACUGGGCUAUUACUAACACUCAGAGACGAAAGCUAGGGUAGCAAAUGGG